rnacentral:rRNA from 1 species
AUUGAACGCUGGCGGCAGGCCUAACACAUGCAAGUCGAACGAGUGGCGGACGGGUGAGUAAUGUCUGGGAACCUGCCUGAUGGAGGGGGAUAACUACUGGAAACGGUAGUUAAUACCGCAUACCAUCGGACUUUCCCAGAUGGGUUUAGCCAGUAGGUGGGGUAACGGCUCACCGAGGCGACGAUCCCUAGCUGGUCUGAGAGGAUGACCAGCCACACGGGAACUGAGACACGGUCCAGACUCCUACGGGAGGCAGCAGUGGGGAAUAUUGCACAAUGGGCGAAAGCCUGAUGCAGCCAUGCCGGGUGUAUGAAGAAGGCCUUCGGGUUGUAAAGUACUUUCAGCGGGGAGGCGUUACCCGCAGAAGAAGCACCGGCUAACUCCGUGCCAGCAGCCGCGGUAAUAC